GACGAACGCUGGCGGCGUGCCUAAUACAUGCAAGUCGAACGCUGAAACUUGGUGCUUGCACCGAGCGGAUGAGUUGCGAACGGGUGAGUAACGCGUAGGUAACCUGCCUGGUAGCGGGGGAUAACUAUUGGAAACGAUAGCUAAUACCGCAUAAGAGUAGAUGUUGCAUGACAUUUGCUUAAAAGGUGCAAUUGCACCACUACCAGAUGGACCUGCGUUGUAUUAGCUAGUUGGUGGGGUAACGGCUCACCAAGGCGACGAUACAUAGCCGACCUGGGAGGGUGAUCGGCCACACUGGGACUGAGACACGGCCCAGACUCCUACGGGAGGCAGCAGUAGGGAAUCUUCGGCAAUGGACGGAAGUCUGACCGAGCAACGCCGCGUGAGUGAAGAAGGUUUUCGGAUCGUAAAGCUCUGUUGUAAGAGAAGAACGAGUGUGAGAGUGGAAAGUUCACACUGUGACGGUAUCUUACCAGAAAGGGACGGCUAACUACGUG
rnacentral:rRNA from 1 species